rnacentral:rRNA from 1 species
AAGACCUUGCGCUUUUGGAGCGGCCGAUGCCUGAUUAGCUUGUUGGUAAGGUAAAAGCUUACCAAGGCUUCGAUCAGUAGCUGGUCUGAGAGGACGACCAGCCACACUGGGACUGAGACACGGCCCAGACUCCUACGGGAGGCAGCAGUGGGGAAUUUUGGACAAUGGGGGCAACCCUGAUCCAGCCAUGCCGCGUGAGUGAAGGAGGCCUUCGGGUUGUAAAGCUCUUUCAGCCGGAACGAAACGGUUACGGAUAACACCCGUGACUACUGACGGUACCGGAAGAAGAAGCACCGGCUAACUACGUGCCAGCAGCCGCGGUAAUACGUAGGGUGCGAGCGUUAAUCGGAAUUACUGGGCGUAAAGCGUGCGCAGGUGGUUUUGUAAGUCAGAUGUGAAAGCCCCGGGCUCAACCUGGGAACU